UUUUCGUACCACGGCGAGGCCGGAUUCCUGUUUUAUCAUGAAUAUUCAUUAGGCAGGGUCGGGGAAAGUCUCGAUUCUCUUAAAUAUUCAUAUCGAGGUGGGAAUGCACGACGCGCGCUAUACUCGCACAAAGUGAGAAGAUUUAGUUCACGGAGAAUGCAUAUGGAUUGAAACUGAAGAGCUGGAAGGAGGACAUUACAACAUCUCUUAUAUUUGCAAGAUGAAGCAGAAAGUCCCAUGCAGGAUGAUGCCUCUCUACAGUGGAUGAUGAAGGCAUUCUGGUUUGCAAACUCAGGAGAGGAACAAAGAACAGAUGUUGACGGGAUCAUAUCUAGAGAUGCGGGCCUACUACACUUCAUACGAGCAAGUGUGCUAAUAUACAUGAAGGUACCCCCAAUAAAUUUUUGUGGAACAAAUGUCAUGGAGAAAAUUAUAGAUCUGAAACAGAUAUUUUUCAUUGUCAGUUGACUUGUAAAAGAAUAAUUGACUUAAUAUCACAAUUGUAAUUUAGAUUAAAAAUUAAAUGUCAAUAUAGAUGAAAUAUAAGUCUACAUUACGUAUGUUUCAGUAGCAUUAUUUCCAGUACAUUCGCUGGUCAAAGUUGUUUGGUCAUUUUAUGUCCCAUACUUAACCGAGUAUUAUUCAAUUACCGGUAUGAGCACGAGUUGUAUUACAUUGUAUUACUUAUUUCAUACCUUGUCUGAUCCGAGCUCCAGCAGGCCUAUCGUCUUAAUGGGAUCAUCAGUAAUAAUUUAAGAUGCGGUCAGUAUUUAAACUAGUCUUGUACAAAAAAUAGUUUAGGUUUGCCCACUAGAACCCCAAGUGAAUUUCAGUCCUUCCUUUUUCUGAGCAGGUAUCAGGGUGUAUGUUAUUAGUCAUUGUUGAUUUUUUUAUAUCUUAUUUCAUUUUUCCAUUCAACAGACUUGGGUUAUAUUUUUUUCUGAAAACUAGGCUACAACUUUAGUGAUGGAUGCAGAAGAUAUCUACACGAGACUACGUCUUAAAGAUGCCACCCUCAUAUAAUGAAAGAGGACAAUAGAGAUGGGUUUAAACUGGAAUAUUUACAUGAUAUUUAUUUGUUAUUUGUAUUAUA